rnacentral:ncRNA from 1 species
ACUGUCUCAACGGGGUGCCGAAAUUAUUAUGCUCAGAGUAUGACGAGUAUAGGCUGAGAACUCACCCGUAGAACCUGAUCCGGGCAAUACCGGCGUAGGGAUUUGAGCUAUCAUCCAUG